rnacentral:rRNA from 1 species
UACGUAGGGACCAAGCGUUGUUCGGAUUUACUGGGCGUAAAGGGCGCGUAGGCGGCGUGGUAAGUCACUUGUGAAAUCUCUGAGCUUAACUCAGAACGGCCAAGUGAUACUGCUGUGCUCGAGUGUGGAAGGGGCAAUCGGAAUUCUUGGUGUAGCGGUGAAAUGCGUAGAUAUCAGGAGGAACACCUGCGGUGUAGACGGCUUACUGGACCAUAACUGACGCUGAGGCACGAAAGCGUGGGUAGCAAACAGG